CCCCUUUUCAGACCGUGCCCGUCCGCCUAUAUUGCGGUCGUCGGCUUCGCGCCGACUAUGGCGAUAAACGUUCGAUGAAAUAAACCUUUCGGACCCGGGGGCGGUACCCGGCGCCUCCACCAGAUCACAGCAGCGCGCCUCUUCGGAGGCGCGGUUGCGAUCUGGCGGGGGCGAAAUAGGAUCGACGAGGGCGUAAAGAUCGAAUUUUCGCUCGGCAUGGUUCCGCCGUUAUCGGGCCGUAUCAAUAGUUGCCAACGACAACUAUGCGGAAGCACGUCUCGCUGCGUAAGCAGCGCGAUCGCUUCAAUUCAAGUCCUGGGGGUUCGCACUUCUAGGCGGGGCUCGGAGGCGCCUGGCAACAGAAGCCUCCACU
rnacentral:tmRNA from 2 species